rnacentral:rRNA from 1 species
GACGAACGCUGGCGGCGUGCUUAACACAUGCAAGUCGAGCGGAGCGGCGAACGGGUGAGUAACGCGUGAGUAACUGCCCCCCUCUCUGGGAUAACAGUUGGAAACGGCUGCUAAUACCGGAUAGUGGGGGAUGACUCGCGUCCUAUCAGCUUGUUGGUGGGGUAGUGGCCUACCAAGGCGACGACGGGUAGCCGGCCUGAGGGGGCGACCGGCCACCGUGGGCUGAGAUACGGCCCAGACGCCUACGUGGGGCAGCAGUGGGGAGUAGUGUGCAAUGGUGGAAACCCUGAUGCAGCAACGCCGGGUGCGGGAUGACGUCCUUCUGGUUGUAAACCGCUUUCAGCCAUGACGCGGUAGUGGCAGAAGAAGCACCGGCUAACUACGUGCCAGCCGCCGCGGUAAUAC